rnacentral:rRNA from 1 species
AUUGAACGCUGGCGGCAUGCCUUACACAUGCAAGUCGAACGGUAACAGGUUAAGCUGACGAGUGGCGAACGGGUGAGUAAUGUGUCGGAACGUGCCCAGUCGUGGGGGAUAACUGCUCGAAAGAGCAGCUAAUACCGCAUACGACCUGAGGGUGAAAGCGGGGGAUCGCAAGACCUCGCGCGAUUGGAGCGGCCGAUAUCAGAUUAGGUAGUUGGUGAGGUAAAGGCUCACCAAGCCGACGAUCUGUAGCUGGUCUGAGAGGACGACCAGCCACACUGGGACUGAGACACGGCCCAGACUCCUACGGGAGGCAGCAGUGGGGAAUUUUGGACAAUGGGCGCAAGCCUGAUCCAGCCAUGCCGCGUGCGGGAAGAAGGCCUUCGGGUUGUAAACCGCUUUUGUCAGGGAAGAAAAGGUUCUGGCUAAUACCUGGGACUCAUGACGGUACCUGAAGAAUAAGCACCGGCCAACUACGUG